rnacentral:rRNA from 1 species
GACGAACGCUGGCGGCGUGCCUAAUACAUGCAAGUCGAGCGAAGUUUUUCUGGUGCUUGCACUAGAAAAACUUAGCGGCGAACGGGUGAGUAACACGUAAAGAACCUGCCUCAUAGACUGGGACAACUAUUGGAAACGAUAGCUAAUACCGGAUAACAGUAUUUCUCGCAUGAGAGAUAUUUAAAAGUUGGUUAUGCUAACACUAUGAGAUGGCUUUGCGGUGCAUUAGCUAGUUGGUGGGGUAAAGGCCCACCAAGGCGACGAUGCAUAGCCGACCUGAGAGGGUGAUCGGCCACACUGGGACUGAGACACGGCCCAGACUCCUACGGGAGGCAGCAGUAGGGAAUCUUCCGCAAUGGGCGAAAGCCUGACGGAGCAACGCCGCGUGAGUGAAGAAGGAUUUCGGUUCGUAAAGCUCUGUUGUUAGGGAAGAAUGGAUAUGUAGUAACUAUACGUGUAAGAGACGGUACCUAACCAGAAAGCCACGGCUAACUACGUG